GAGUUUGAUCCUGGCUCAGGAUGAACGCUGGCGGCGUGCCUAAUACAUGCAAGUCGAGCGAACAGAUAAGGAGCUUGCUCCUUUGACGUUAGCGGCGGACGGGUGAGUAACACGUGGGUAACCUACCUAUAAGACUGGAAUAACUCCGGGAAACCGGGGCUAAUGCCGGAUAAUAUUUAGAACCGCAUGGUUCUAAAGUGAAAGAUGGUUUUGCUAUCACUUAUAGAUGGACCCGCGCCGUAUUAGCUAGUUGGUGGGGUAAUGGCUUACCAAGGCAACGAUACGUAGCCGACCUGAGAGGGUGAUCGGCCACACUGGAACUGAGACACGGUCCAGACUCCUACGGGAGGCAGCAGUAGGGAAUCUUCCGCAAUGGGCGAAAGCCUGACGGAGCAACGCCGCGUGAGUGAUGAAGGUCUUCGGAUCGUAAAACUCUGUUAUUAGGGAAGAACAAAUGUGUAAGUAACUGUGCACGUCUUGACGGUACCUAAUCAGAAAGCCACGGCUAACUACGUGCCAGCAGCCGCGGUAA
rnacentral:rRNA from 1 species